rnacentral:rRNA from 2 species
CCGCAUGGGGGAAGAUUGAAAGGUGGCUUCGGCUAUCACUUACAGAUGGACCCGCGGCGCAUUAGCUAGUUGGUGAGGUAACGGCUCACCACGGCGACGAUGCGUAGCCGACCUGAGAGAGUGAUCGGCCACACUGGGACUGAGACACGGCCCAGACUCCUACGGGAGGCAGCAGUAGGGAAUCUUCCGCACUGGACGAAAGUCUGACGUAGCAACGCCGCGUGAGUGAAGAAGGUUUUCGGAUCGUAAAACUCUGUUGUUAGGGAAGAACAAGUGCCGUUCGAAUAGGUCGGCACCUUGACGGUACCUAACCAGAUAGCCACGGCUAACUUCGUGCCAGCAGCCGCGGUAAUACGUAGGUGGCAAGCGUUGUCUGGAAUUAUUGGGCGUAAAGCGCGCGCAGGUGGUUUCUUAAGUCUGAUGUGAAAGCCCACGGCUCAACCGUGGAGGGUCAUUGGAAACUGGGGAACUUGAGUGCAGAAGAGGAAAGUGGAAUUCCAAGUGUAGCGGUGAAAUGCGUAGAUAUUUGGAGGAACACCAGUGGCGAAGGCGACUUUCUGGUCUGUAACUGACACUGAGGCGCGAAAGCGUGGGGAGCAAACAGGAUUAGAUUCCCUGGUAGUCC